rnacentral:rRNA from 1 species
UGAAAGACUUACAUCUCUUCGGAGCAUUUUACGUAGGUGCUGCAUGGUUGUCGUCAGCUCGUGCCGUGAGGUGCGGGUUAAGUCCCAUAACGAGCGCAACCCUACCUUUAGUUGCCAUCAGGUAAUGCUGGGGACUCUAAAGGAACUGCCUACGCAAGUAGUGAGGAAGCGGGGAUGACGUCAAAUCAGCACGGCCCUUACGUCCAGGGCUACACACGUGCUACAAUGGCCGAUACAGAGGGCAGCUACCUGGUGACAGGAUGCAAAUCUCCAAAGUCGGUCUCAGUUCGGAUCGGAGUCUGCAACCCGACUCCGUGAAGUUGGAUUCGCUAGUAAUCGCGCAUCAGCCAUGGCGCGGUGAAUACGUUCCCGGGCCUU